GACGAACGCUGGCGGCGUGCUUAACACGUGCAAGUCGAACGGGAGUAUUGAAGAAGCUUGCUUUAGAGAUACUUUAGUGGCGGACGGGUGAGUAACGCGUGAGGAGCUGUCCUAUGCAGGGGGACAACAGCUGGAAACGGCUGCUAAUACCCCAUAAGCCGAGAGGUAAAAGGAUCAAUCCGGCAGAGGAGGUACUCGCGUCCUAUCAGCUAGUAGGUGAGGUAACGGCUCACCUAGGCGAAGACGGGUAGCCGGCCUGAGAGGGCGAACGGCCACACUGGAACUGAGAUACGGUCCAGACUCCUACGGGAGGCAGCAGUGGGGAAUAUUGGGCAAUGGGGGAAACCCGUGACCCAGCGACGCCGCGUGGGUGAAGAAAUCCUUCGGGAUGUAAAGCCCUGUUGUAUGGGAAGAGCGGAAGACGGUACCAUACGAGGAAGCCCCGGCAAACUACGUG
rnacentral:rRNA from 1 species